rnacentral:rRNA from 1 species
CCUACGGGUGGCAGCAGUGAGGAAUAUUGGUCAAUGGACGAGAGUCUGAACCAGCCAAGUAGCGUGAAUGAUGACUGCCCUAUGGGUUGUAAACUUCUUUUAUAUGGGAAUAAAACGUUCCACGUGUGGGAUUUUGUAUGUACCAUAUGAAUAAGGAUCGGCUAACUCCGUGCCAGCAGCCGCGGUAAUACGGAGGAUCCGAGCGUUAUCCGGAUUUAUUGGGUUUAAAGGGAGCGUAGGUGGAGUGUUAAGUCAGUUGUGAAAGUUUGCGGCUCAACCGUAAAAUUGCAGUUGAAACUGGCAGUCUUGAGUACAGUAGAGGUGGGCGGAAUUCGUGGUGUAGCGGUGAAAUGCUUAGAUAUCACGAAGAACUCCGAUUGCGAAGGCAGUUCACUGGACUGCAACUGACACUGAGGCUCGAAAGUGUGGGUAUCAAACAGGAUUAGAUACCCCUGUAGUC